AUCACUGGGUCUUGUACCCAGGUGGUGUGAAUCUUCUCUCCUGCCUUGGUUCUUCCACGGGGGGCAUUGUGUCAUAUCGCUGGGUCCCACACAUACGUUAUGUGACUCUCCUGCCUGUGCCCUGUGCAUGUGGGUCAUUGUGACAUAUUGCUGGGUCCAACACCCAGGUGAUGUAACUCUACUGCCUAGGCCCUGCCUGCAGAGGACAUUGUGUCAUAUACCUGCACCCAUCACACAGGUUCUGCUUGCAGGGGAUAUUGUGACAUGUCAGCGAGCCUAAUACUAAGAUGUUGCCCAAAAAGAGAUUGUGACAUAACUUUGGGCCCAGCACCAAGGUGAUGUGUCCCCUCUCCUGCCUGGGGCUUGCCCACCGAAGAGAGAGUGACUUAUUGAUGAGUUCAGCACACAGGGAUUGUGUCAUAUCACUCUGUCAAGAACCUAGAUGAGGUGACUCUCCUCUCCAGCCUGGGACCUACAUACGUUGUGUAUUGAGACAUGUCACUGGCUUCAACACCUGGAUAACACAACUCUCCUGCAUGGGCCCUGCCCAUAGAGGUGUGAUUUUGACAUACACCUCUGCCUUGCACCUGAGUAAUGUGACUCUUCAGCACCAGCACAGCCUACAGAUAGGAUUGUGCCACACUGCUGGACCCAGCACCUAGAAGCAGGAUAUGUACAGAAUUGUUGAUCUCAUCUGUGGACCUUCCUGCAAGCACGAUUGUGCCAUAUGCCUCUGUAUAGUUUACUCUCCUGCGUGGAUUUAGCCCACAGAUGAAAUUGUGACAUAUCGCUGGACCAGAAACUAGGUUAUGUGACUCUCUUGCCUGUGCUCUGCCAACAUGGGCCACUGUGACAUGUUGCUGGGUCCAAAACCUAGGUUCUGCCUGCAGAAGAGAUUGUAACAUAUUGCUGGGCACCUUGGGCCUGCGCUCAGAAGGCAUUAUGACAUAUUCCUGGGUCCAACACCAAGGUGAUGCUACUCUCUACUUAUGCCUGGGCCUUGACAAAAAGAGGGAUUGGGACAUAUCCCUGGACGCUGAACCUAAGAGGUGGAGGUUGCCGUGGUGACAGAGUGAGACUUCGCCAAAACAAAACAAAAAAAACAACAAAAAAAAAUAAGGCAUUGUGAUGUAUGUGAUGUAUCACUGGGACUGACACCUAGGUUAUGACACUCUCUUCUGCCUGGGCCCUGCAUAAAUUGUAUGUUUUGACAUAUCACUGGGUUCAACAUACAGCUGAUGCAACUGUCUCAUAUAGGCCCUGCUCAUGGGCAUAUUAGGACAUAUAUUUUCCUUCAUCACUUAGGCUGUGUGAAUCCUCUCUUCACCCUGGACCCUGCCAAAGGGAAAAAUUGAGACAUAUCACUGGAACUAGCACUUAGGCAAUGUGACCCUUCUCUUCUGCCUGCGAACCACAUUUUUGG